rnacentral:rRNA from 1 species
CAAUAGCGUAUAUUAAAGUUGUUGCGGUAAAAAAGCUCGUAGUUGGAUUUCUACCGAAGAUAGCCGGUCGGGGCUUCGACCUUGUAUCUGGUUUUGUCUUUGGUAUCCUCAUAGGGAACGUUUCUGCGCUUUAUUGCGUGGUGCGGUAUCUAUGACUUUUACUUUGAGGAAAUUAGAGUGUUCACGGCAGGCAAACGCCUUGAAUAUAUUAGCAUGGAAUAAUAACAUAGGAUCUUCGUCCUAUUUUGUUGGUUUCUAGGGCUAAGAUAAUGAUUAAUAGGGAUAAUUGGGGGCAUCUGUAUCAACGCGUCAGAGGUGGAAUUCUUGGAUUGCGUUGCGACAAACUACUGCGAAAGCAUUUGCCAAGGAUGUUUUCAUUGA